UGGGGAAUAUUGCACAAUGGGCGCAAGCCUGAUGCAGCCAUGCCGCGUGUGUGAAGAAGGCCUUCGGGUUGUAAAGCACUUUCAGCGAGGAGGAAGGGUAGUGUGUUAAUAGCACAUUGCAUUGACGUUACUCGCAGAAGAAGCACCGGCUAACUCCGUGCCAGCAGCCGCGGUAAUACGGAGGGUGCAAGCGUUAAUCGGAAUUACUGGGCGUAAAGCGCACGCAGGCGGUUUGUUAAGUCAGAUGUGAAAUCCCCGCGCUUAACGUGGGAACUGCAUUUGAAACUGGCAAGCUAGAGUCUUGUAGAGGGGGGUAGAAUUCCAGGUGUAGCGGUGAACUGCGUAGAGAUCUGGAGGAAUACCGGUGGCGAAGGCGGCCCCCUGGACAAAGACUGACGCUCAGGUGCGAAAGCGUGGGGAGCAAACA
rnacentral:rRNA from 1 species